rnacentral:rRNA from 1 species
GGUGGCCGCAGAGAAUAGGCCCAAGCGACUGUUUACCAAAAACAUAGGUUUCUGCUAAGUCGCAAGACGAUGUAUAGGAGCUGACGCCUGCCCGGUGCUGGAAGGUUAAGGGGAUCUGUUAGAGCAAUCGAAGCAGUGAACUUAAGCCCCAGUAAACGGCGGCCGUAACUAUAACGGUCCUAAGGUAGCGAAAUUCCUUGUCGGGUAAGUUCCGACCCGCACGAAAGGCGUAACGAUUUGGGCACUGUCUCAACAACAGACUCGGUGAAAUUGUAAUUCCGGUGAAGAUGCCGGAUACCUGCGACAGGACGGAAAGACCCCAUGGAGCUUUACUGUAGCUUGACAUUGGGUCUUGGUACUACAUGUACAGGAUAGGUGGGAGGCUUUGAAACCAGGACG